UACGGGGGGAGCAAGCGUUGUUCGGAUUUACUGGGCGUAAAGGGCGCGUAGGCGGCCUCUGCAAGUCGACUGUGAAAUCUCCGGGCUUAACCCGGAAAGGUCAGCCGAUACUGCAGGGCUAGAGUGCAGAAGGGGCAACUGGAAUUCUCGGUGUAGCGGUGAAAUGCGUAGAUAUCGAGAGGAACACCUGCGGCGAAGGCGGGUUGCUGGGCUGACACUGACGCUGAGGCGCGAAAGCGUGGGGAGCGAUCCGG
rnacentral:rRNA from 1 species